UUUUUCACUAAGUCUUUAGAGGUUUUAAGAUUCAAACACUAUGUAAGAAGAAUUAUGGUUUGAACUACGUAACAAUUACCUAGACAUCUUUUGGACUUCAGUUAACCUGUGUCAAGCACUGCAGUAGAUUCUGAAGAUACAAAAAUAAAUAAAACAUUCCUGCCCUCAAGACACUUACACUCUUAUGUGUAACACUGUGUGACCAUUCAUCUGGGCCUUCCUGAGACAGUCUUGGUUUACACCUGUUUUCCCAAUAGCAUCACUGCCUUUCCCACUAUUCUCCUGCAGAAGAGCAGGGGAAGGAAGCACCAGGGUCCAUCAUGGAGUUGUGACAACUGAGAUUCAGAGAUGUCCAAUCUACUCACAUAAAUAGCCUGGUUGAAGAUGGCUGAGCGUAAAACAGAAUGCAAGUCAGCUGGAGCACGUACUACUGGAGGCAGAGCCCCAUGAGAAGGGGCCAAGAACCCGCACCCAUCAAAAUCAAGAAGAAAGGCUGAACCCGGAGAGAAAAGGGAGCAACUGAUGUUGCCAUGCAGAUCCCUUGGUUGCUAUGAGAUGGUAACAUCACUCUGCCCCACCAUUGGCCAGUGCCUCCUCAGCUGCGGUGCCUCCCAGGCUGUGUGGUUCUCACGCGGGCCACUGACACAGAGCUGUUACUAUGGUGAACUUUACAAUUUCCUUUGAUUGGUGGAUUUCAGAAAUAGGCCAUCAGCGGAAUUCAUUAUAUUCAGCUAAGUAAAAAUGAAAAAUAAAUACUAUAACUUUCCCCUCAUCACUAACAUGAAGGAAACGUGACCCUUCAUGACAUAAUAAAUCGCUGUUCGGUAACUUAGGAUCCUUCAGGGGACUGAAGCGGGAUGAUCCUCCUAUGCCAAAUUUGGGUGGGAAAGAUAUUCCCUGUAGCUUUGAGUCGACUCUUCAGAGUUAAGGGCAGUGGGCCAACCAGAGUUGGAACUUCAGAGUUGGGAGGAGGUGUGGGAUGGGGCAUGCAUUGAAAUGUAAACUCUAUUGUCUCUGAAGUGAUGGGUGAUGCUGGGGGCCUGAGUGUGGAGGGCAGUUUUACAUCUCAGGACAAUGUUUUCUCAGAUGCUCUUCCAGAAAGAAAAGCCAGGAGUACUCCUGGCUGGAGGCGGCAUGCCUGAGGUCAGAGUCAAAGUAGGGUUUGUGCUGUCUGAAUCCUUUCUCCCACUCUCCCCAGCCUGGCUCAGCUUCUCAGCUUCUCAGGUGGAUUGGUGAGUCCUGGCCAAUUACGCUUCAGCUCAUCUCUACUCUCAGCAAAUAGGAAAAGGGAGUGAAGGACUGAGUUUUAACUCUUCUAAUUUCGUAACCUGACUCUCUAUAAGAAAAAGUAGGAGAAAGACUGAAGAACCCGAGAGAACAGGCCUCUGAGCCCAAGCCAAGCCAUCGCAUCCCCUGUGACUUGCCCGUAUAUAUGCCCAGAUGGCCUGAAGUAACUGAAGAAUCACAAAAGAAGUGAAUAUGCCUUGCCCCACCUUGACUGAUGACAUUCCACCACAAAAGAAGUGUAAAUGGCCGGUCCUUGCCUUAACUGAUGACAUUACCUUGUGAAAGUCCUUUUCCUGGCUCAUCCUGGCUCAAAAAGCACCCCCACUGAGCAUCUUGCGACUCCCACUCCUGCCCACUGAGCACCUUGUGACCCCCACUCCUGCCUGCCAGAGAACAAACCCCCUUUGACUGUAAUUUUCCUUUACCUACCCAAAUCCUAUAAAACGGCUCCACCCUUAUCUCCUUUUGCUGACUCUCUUUUCUGACUCAGCCCGCCUGCACCCAGGAGAUUAAAAGCUUUAUUGCUCACACAAA
rnacentral:lncRNA from 1 species